UGGCUAGGUGGGUUGACUAUGUUCAACAAUUUUGAAUAAUUUGGAAGUUUCACUACUACAAAAACACCCUAAGGAGUCGCCCUUUUAGAGUCGCCUCAAAUUACUAAGUGAUGCCUAAAGUUUUAGAGUCGUCUCUUACAAAGCAUGUGACACAUAAAGCUUGAUUAAAAGAAACCUAAAAAUAAAUUGAAAAGCAUAGGCAUCACGUACACUAUAAUAGGCAAUACGUAAACUAUACACGUCCCAUCUUUCAUUAUAUGUGACUUAUAUAGUAUUACUUUACGAGUCGCCUCUAGUCCUGAACUAUUACACGCGACACCUUUGCAAGUUAAGAAACAAAGCUGAAGCUUAAAACAAAAACCCUAGAAUCCUCAUUUGUUCAUUCCCUUGGUUUUUUUUUUCCUCCUCUCCUCACCUCCCUCAUUCAUUCCGUUAGGCUUUUUUUCCUUCCUCACAUCGCCUCCCACCGGCAACGACUACCACCAUACCACUACUUGUCUCCAUUAUCAGAUAUUCGCCGAUCAAUUUCUCAUCUUCGAUUUCUCAUUCCUCUUUCAAUCAGUUACAUUAAAAUUUCCCUAUUACUUUAUCCAUUAUACGUACAAUACGUACUACUAUUCUUCUUCCUCCAAAAAAAAGCCAACUUCAGAUCGAACCCGUCGCCGUCGUCUUCAUCUACCGCCGCUGCGCCCCCACAUCUCCUUUCCGGUGAAAAGUUAGGUUACUUGUGUAUGAGCUGCAAUCGUUACUCGUUAGUGUGGUUAUUGGCUUUAUGUGUAGCAGCUGAGGUAUAUGUAUCGUGGUGGAUCUUGCAGCCGAGUAAUGGAUUUGGUGGCUAGCUGUAAGAUUUUUUAACGGAGUUGGCUUGUUCUUUGGUCAUGGCACAAGGAGAGCAUGUUACUACUCACAUAGAACUUGUAUGACACACCUAGGAGACCCAGGAUCCUUUCUAGCUGCUAGUGGAAGUGUUGUUGCGAUCAAGUUUGGAAACCUCUGUCAUUGCUUUUCGAAAUGGGCCGAUGUGAAAGCAUUUGGCGACUAAAUCUGCAUUGCAUUUAGCAAGGUAUGGUGAUUCAACUCUGUCCAUUAUGUAUCUAACUUUUCUCAUUCAAGAUUUAAAUAUAAUAUUCGUGGAA